AACUCCCAACCCCUGUGACAUACCACUUGUUGCCUCGGCGGAUCAGCCCGCUCCCGGUAAAACGGGACGGCCCGCCAGAGGACCCCUAAACUCUGUUUCUAUAUGUAACUUCUGAGUAAAACCAUAAAUAAAUCAAAACUUUCAACAACGGAUCUCUUGGUUCUGGCAUCGAUGAAGAACGCAGCAAAAUGCGAUAAGUAAUGUGAAUUGCAGAAUUCAGUGAAUCAUCGAAUCUUUGAACGCACAUUGCGCCCGCCAGUAUUCUGGCGGGCAUGCCUGUUCGAGCGUCAUUUCAACCCUCAAGCACAGCUUGGUGUUGGGACUCGCGUUAAUUCGCGUUCCCCAAAUUGAUUGGCGGUCACGUCGAGCUUCCAUAGCGUAGUAGUAAAACCCUCGUUACUGGUAAUCGUCGCGGCCACGCCGUUAAACCCCAACUUCUGAAUGUUGACCUCGGAUCAGGUAGGAAUACCCGCUGAACUUAAGCAUAUCAAUAAGCGGAGGGAAAAGAAA
rnacentral:rRNA from 1 species